GACGAACGCUGGCGGCGUGCUUAACACAUGCAAGUCGAACGGAAAGGCCCUGCUUUUGUGGGGUGCUCGAGUGGCGAACGGGUGAGUAACACGUGAGUAACCUGCCCUUGACUUUGGGAUAACUUCAGGAAACUGGGGCUAAUACCGGAUAGGAGCUCCUGCUGCAUGGUGGGGGUUGGAAAGUUUCGGCGGUUGGGGAUGGACUCGCGGCUUAUCAGCUUGUUGGUGGGGUAGUGGCUUACCAAGGCUUUGACGGGUAGCCGACCUGAGAGGGUGACCGGCCACAUUGGGACUGUGAUACGGCCCAGACUCCUACGGGAGGCAACAGUGGGGAAUAUUGCACAAUGGGCGGAAGCCUGAUGCAGCAACGCCGCGUGCGGGAUGACGGCCUUCGGGUUGUAAACCGCUUUCGCCUGUGACGAAGCGUGAGUGACGGUAAUGGGUAAAGAAGCACCGGCUAACUACGU
rnacentral:rRNA from 1 species